GUAAGGAAUAUUGGACAAUGGACGCAAGUCUGAUCCAGCCAUGCCGCGUGAAGGAUUAAGGUCCUCUGGAUUGUAAACUUCUUUUAUAAGGGACGAAAAAAGGCUUUUCUAAGUCGUCUGACGGUACCUUAUGAAUAAGCACCGGCUAACUCCGUGCCAGCAGCCGCGGUAAUACGGAGGGUGCAAGCGUUAUCCGGAUUCACUGGGUUUAAAGGGUGCGUAGGCGGGCAGGUAAGUCAGUGGUGAAAUCCUAGAGCUUAACUCUAGAACUGCCAUUGAUACUAUCUGUCUUGAAUAUUGUGGAGGUAAGCGGAAUAUGUCAUGUAGCGGUGAAAUGCUUAGAUAUGACAUAGAACACCUAUUGCGAAGGCAGCUUACUACGCAUAUAUUGACGCUGAGGCACGAAAGCGUGGGGAUCAAACAGGAUUAGAUACCCCGGUAGUC
rnacentral:rRNA from 1 species